AUUGAACGCUGGCGGCAUGCUUUACACAUGCAAGUCGAACGGUAACAGGCCGCAAGGUGCUGACGAGUGGCGAACGGGUGAGUAAUGCAUCGGAACGUGCCCAGUCGUGGGGGAUAACUACUCGAAAGAGUAGCUAAUACCGCAUACGACCUAUGGAUGAAAGCGGGGGACCGUAAGGCCUCGCGCGAUUGGAGCGGCCGAUGUCAGAUUAGGUAGUUGGUGGGGUAAAGGCUCACCAAGCCAACGAUCUGUAGCUGGUCUGAGAGGACGACCAGCCACACUGGGACUGAGACACGGCCCAGACUCCUACGGGAGGCAGCAGUGGGGAAUUUUGGACAAUGGGCGCAAGCCUGAUCCAGCAAUGCCGCGUGCAGGAAGAAGGCCUUCGGGUUGUAAACUGCUUUUGUACGGAACGAAACGGCUCUGGUUAAUACCCGGGGGUAAUGACGGUACCGUAAGAAUAAGCACCGGCUAACUACGUG
rnacentral:rRNA from 1 species